GUUAGAAUAGCUUAAACAGAGAGCAUAGCACUGAAGAUGCUAAAGUGAUAUAUUAUCUUUUAAUA
rnacentral:tRNA from 1 species